rnacentral:rRNA from 1 species
UACGAAGGGGGCUAGCGUUGUUCGGAAUCACUGGGCGUAAAGCGCGUGUAGGCGGAUUGUUAAGUCGGGGGUGAAAUCCCGAGGCUCAACCUCGGAACUGCCUUCGAUACUGGCGAUCUUGAGUCCCGGAGAGGAGGGCGGAAUUCCCGGUGUAGAGGUGAAAUUCGUAGAUAUCGGGAGGAACACCAGUGGCGAAGGCGGCCCUCUGGACGGUGACUGACACUGAGAUGCGAAAGCGUGGGGAGCAAACAGG